AUGCAGUACGUAUCUUUACAUAUACAGUACAUAUACAGUACGUAUCUUUACAUAUACAGUACAUAUACAGUACAUAUCUUUACAUAUACAGUACAUAUACAGUACAUAUACAGUACAUAUACAGUACGUAUCUUUACAUAUACAGUACAUAUACAGUACAUAUCUUUACAUAUACAGUACAUAUACAGUACAUAUACAGUACAUAUACAGUACGUAUCUUUACAUAUACAGUACAUAUCUUUACAUAUACAGUACAUAUACAGUACAUAUACAGUACAUAUACAGUACAUAUCUUUACAUAUACAGUACAUAUACAGUACAUAUCUUUACAUAUACAGUACAUAUACAGUACAUAUACAGUACAUAUACAGUACAUAUACAGUACUUAUACAGUACAUAUCUUUACAUAUACAGUACAUAUACAGUACAUAUACAGUACAUAUACAGUACAUAUACAGUACAUAUACAGUACAUAUACAGUACAUAUCUUUACAGAUACAGUACAUAUACAGUACAUAUCUUUACAUAUACAGUACAUAUAUUUACAUACACAGUACUUAUACAGUACAUAUACAGUACAUAUACAGUACAUAUCUUUACAUAUACAGUACAUAUACAGUACAUAUCUUUACAUAUACAGUACAUAUACAGUACAUAUACAGUACAUAUACAGUACAUAUCUUUACAUAUACAGUACAUAUACAGUACAUAUCUUUACAUAUACAGUACAUAUACAGUACAUAUACAGUACAUAUCUUUACAUAUACAGUACAUAUACAGUACAUAUCUUUACAUAUACAGUACAUAUACAGUACAUAUACAGUACAUAUACAGUACAUAUACAGUACUUAUACAGUACAUAUCUUUACAGUACAUAUACAGUACAUAUACAGUACAUAUACAGUACAUAUACAGUACAUAUCUUUACAGAUACAGUACAUAUACAGUACAUAUCUUUACAUAUACAGUACAUAUAUUUACAUACACAGUACUUAUACAGUACAUUUACAGUACAUAUACAGUACAUAUCUUUACAUAUACAGUACUUAUACAGUACAUAUCUUUACAUAUACAGUACAUAUCUUUACAUAUACAGUACAUAUACAGUACAUAUCUUUACAUACACAGUACAUAUCUUUACAUAUACAGUACGUAUCUUUACAUAUACAGUACAUAUACAGUACAUAUACAGUACUUAUACAGUACAUAUACAGUACAUAUACAGUACGUAUCUUUACAUAUACAGUACGUAUCUUUACAUAUACAGUACGUAUCUUUACAUAUACAGUACAUAUACAGUACGUAUCUUUACAUAUACAGUACAUAUACAGUACAUAUACAGUACGUAUCUUUACAUAUACAGUACAUAUCUUUACAUAUGCAGUACGUAUCUUUACAUAUACAGUACAUAUACAGUACGUAUCUUUACAUAUACAGUACAUAUACAGUACAUAUACAGUACAUAUACAGUACGUAUCUUUACAUAUACAGUACAUAUACAGUACUUAUCUUUACAUAUACAGUACAUAUACAGUACGUAUCUUUACAUAUACAGUACAUAUCUUUACAUACACAGUACAUAUCUUUACAUAUACAGUACGUAUCUUUACAUAUACAGUACAUAUACAGUACAUAUACAGUACAUAUACAGUACAUAUACAGUACGUAUCUUUACAUAUACAGUACGUAUCUUUACAUAUACAGUACAUAUACAGUACGUAUCUUUACAUAUACAGUACAUAUACAGUACAUAUCUUUACAUAUACAGUACAUAUACAGUACAUAUACAGUACAUAUACAGUACUUAUACAGUACAUAUCUUUACAUAUACAGUACAUAUACAGUACAUAUACAGUACAUAUACAGUACAUAUACAGUACAUAUACAGUACAUAUCUUUACAGAUACAGUACAUAUACAGUACAUAUCUUUACAUAUACAGUACAUAUCUUUACAUACACAGUACUUAUACAGUACAUAUACAGUACAUAUACAGUACAUAUCUUUACAUAUACAGUACAUAUACAGUACAUAUCUUUACAUACACAGUACAUAUCUUUACAUAUACAGUACGUAUCUUUACAUAUACAGUACAUAUACAGUACAUAUACAGUACAUAUACAGUACAUAUACAGUACAUAUCUUUACAUAUACAGUACAU
ensembl:lncRNA